UACAGAGGUCCCAAGCGUUGUUCGGAUUCAUUGGGCGUAAAGGGUGCGCAGGCGGCGCGGUAAGUCGGGUGUGAAAUCUUGGAGCUUAACUCCGAAACUGCAUUCGAUACUGCCGUGCUUGAGGACUUGGAGAGGGAGACUGGAAUUUACGGUGUAGCGGUGAAAUGCGUAGAUAUCGGGAGGAACACCGGUGCGAAGGCGGUCUACUGGGCCUU
rnacentral:rRNA from 1 species